AUAAACCCUUCAACAUCAAACCUCAUGCCCACCGGUGUUAACCUCCACACACUCUCUCCCACACCAUAAACAACACCGCCACCACAUUUUUUGAGUCAAACGAAAGAAUUUAAAAUCCCAUUUUUUUAGCAAAAUUUCGACGACAACAGUUGAAGGGAAAGGAAGAAAGAUCUUCAAAAGUUGGAUUUUUGAUGUUCAGUAGUAGAUAGUUAAUGGAGAAGAGAAGAUGAAGAACUAUCAAGAAUUUUGGAGCAUUCUACCGUAAUUUGUUUGUGGGAGUUAGAAAUAAAAAUUAAGUGCAGAUGUGCUCAGUUAAUCAUAAUUUUUUUUCUUUGAGGCGAGUUAGUCAUGAGAUUUUUAAUUUUUAAAAAAUUGAAUUCAUAAUAUGGUUUGAGAACUGCAUUCAAAAUCGACGGUUUAUUUUGUAUGUGAUGUGUUUUGUGUGUUUCUUAUUCCAAUUUAAGUAGGUAGGUGGAUGAGUGAGAAUAUUGUAGAUAUUAAGUAAUUGUCGACGUUUCUCUC